GUGGACGGUCGGAAUGUAUGGUUUGAGUAAUGAGCCAAGAUUGCUAUAUGACAUGAACUAACGUCACCUGAGGGUCACACCACAGAGCAUUUACUGCGAGCAGUGAGAGGAUAUAAAAGGGCUGAGACCUUGCAGAAGCAGAAGGUGAAGGAGCGCAGCAUGACCUGAAAUAUCAGCUCCAGGCAAGAGGCCCUUUGUUGAAGUUGGAGCUGACUUGUGCGGGAAGACCUACAUGAAGGGAAUGACUGAUUGGACUGAUAAAGACUUACUCUUGGAUCGCACUGGUGGAUUAUGUUGGAUGAAGCAUCACCCUUUGAUGUGCAGAUACACAAAAUGUUACAGAUCAUGACUUUGAAGCUCAGUUUUGAUUCAAUAAGAAAGCAAACAGCCACAUAGGCUGGAUUUUAAUUAUCCCUGGGGGAUUCAAAUGUUACGUAAUAUGUGUUCAAGCUAUGAAAACCACAUAUUUGGCUGUUUGAAGAACAUUUUAAAAGAUAACAUGCAGAUGAAGGAUUAGAAACUUAGGCCUUAAUCUCAAGUACUGCACAUUUUGAAAAAUCAGCAAUGAGGGGAACAUCUAAAAGACUCAGAGAGUGAGCAAUAUGUUAAGAAUAAACUUCUUAUUGAUAUCAAAUAAAUG
rnacentral:lncRNA from 1 species